AUUUAAGGUUUGACCUGCCCACUGAAAUUAUUUGAAGGGCCGCAGUAAUUUGACUGUGCAAAGGUAGCAUAAUCAUUAGUUUUUUAAUUAAAAGCUUGUAUGAAGGGUUGGACGAGGUAAAUUCUGUCUCUAUUUAAUUUAAUAUAGAAUUUAAUUUUUAAGUUAAAAAGCUUAAAUUUUUUUAAAAGACGAGAAGACCCUAUAGAUCUUUAUAUUAUAGAUAUUAAUUUUAAUUAAGAAUAUUUUAUUUUUUAUUAUUUAUAUUAUUUUAUUGGGGUAAUAGGAAGAUUAAUCAAAUUCUUUUUUUUAUUUUUACAUUAAUAAAUGAUUAUAUGAUCCAAUUUUAUUGAUUAAAAGAUUAAGUUACCUUAGGGAUAACAGCGUAAUUUUUUUAGAGAGUUCAUAUCGAUAAAAAAGUUUGCGACCUCGAUGUUGGAUUAAAAAUUAUCUUAGGUGCAGAAGUUUAAGAUUUUGGUCUGUUCGACCAUUAAAUUUUUACAUGAUCUGAGUUCAGACCGGUGUAAGCCAGGUCGGUUUCUAUCUUUAAUAAAAUAAAAUAUUUUAGUACGAAAGGACCAAGUAUUUAGUAUAUUUAUAUUUAGUUUUUUUGAAUAU
rnacentral:rRNA from 1 species